rnacentral:tRNA from 1 species
AUUUUUAUAGUAUAAAAAGUAUAUAUAUUUUCCAAAUAUAAGGUCUUAGAGUAGUAAAAAUA